UUUCUCUCGUUUUCUCUCUCUAUCUCCCUGUUUUCAUAUCUUUCUCUUUUUCAAUUUCUUAAAAGCUGUCUUCGAACAGUCCAAGAUACACAGAGAAAGAGCUCAUGGUAUGCACUGUAUUGCAAUCUUCCGCGCACGCGGCACAUC
ensembl:ncRNA F52D10.10 ncRNA